UACAGAGGUCCCAAGCGUUUGUUCGGAUUCACUGGGCGUAAAGGGUGCGCAGGUGGUCGGGUAAGUCUGACGUGAAAUCCCGCAGCUUAACUGCGGAAUGGCAUUGGAUACUAUUCGGCUAGAGGGUUGGAGGGGGGGACUGGAAUUCUCGGUGUAGCAGUGAAAUGCGUAGAUAUCGAGAGGAACACCAGUGGCGAAGGCGAGUCCCUGGACAACUCCUGACGCUGAGGCACGAAAGCUAGGGGAGCAAACAGG
rnacentral:rRNA from 1 species